CAUGGUGAGAUCACUCUUUAAACUAUUUGAACUAUUUACAUAAUUCCUACUG
rnacentral:antisense_RNA from 1 species